UGUGUUGAUUUCAGGUGAUUUGAAGCUGUUGACGAGCUAACUGGAAGAAGCGGACCUGAUCAUGUCAAACCACUCGACCCCGAGGUCGAGUAGAAGCUUCAAGACCUCAACAGACCACUCGACCCCCUGGUCGAGUAGGGGACUUCACCAUUUCAUCU
rnacentral:sRNA from 1 species